GACGAACGCUGGCGGCGUGCUUAACGCAUGCAAGUCGAACGGAAAGGCCCUGCUUUUGUGGGGUGCUCGAGUGGCGAACGGGUGAGUAACACGUGAGUAACCUGCCCUUGACUUUGGGAUAACUUCAGGAAACUGGGGCUAAUACCGGAUAGGAGCUCCUGCUGCACGGUGGGGGUUGGAAAGUUUCGGCGGUUGGGGAUGGACUCGCGGCUUAUCAGCUUGUUGGUGGGGUAGUGGCUUAUCAAGGCUUUGACGGGUAGCCGGCCUGAGAGGGUGACCGGCCACAUUGGGACUGAGAUACGGCCCAGACUCCUACGGGAGGCAGCAGUGGGGAAUAUUGCACAAUGGGCGGAAGCCUGAUGCAGCAACGCCGCGUGCGGGAUGACGGCCUUCGGGUUGUAAACCGCUUUCGCCUGUGACGAAGCGUGAGUGACGGUAAUGGGUAAAGAAGCACCGGCUAACUACGUG
rnacentral:rRNA from 1 species